AUUGAACGCUGGCGGCAGGCCUAACACAUGCAAGUCGAGCGCGCGGCGCACGGGUGAGUAAUGUCUCGGAAACUGCCUGAUGUAGGGGGGUAACUCCUGGAAACGCUAGCUAAUACCGCAUACCAUCAGAUGUGCCCCGAUGGGAUUAGCUAGUAGGUGGGGUAAUGGCUCACCUAGGCGACGAUCCCUAGCUGGUCUGAGAGGAUGACCAGCCACACUGGAACUGAGAAACGGUCCAGACUCCGACGGGAGGCAGCAGUGGGGAAUAUGGCACAAUGGGCGCAAGCCUGAUGCAGCCAUGCCGCGUGUGUGAAGAAGGCCUUCGGGUUGUAAAGCACUUUCAGCGGGGAGGCGUUACCCGCAGAAGAAGCACCGGCUAACUCCGUGCCAGCAGCCGCGGUAAUUC
rnacentral:rRNA from 1 species